AUUGAACGCUGGCGGCAUGCCUUACACAUGCAAGUCGAACGGUAACAGGUCUUCGGAUGCUGACGAGUGGCGAACGGGUGAGUAAUACAUCGGAACGUGCCUAGUAGUGGGGGAUAACUACUCGAAAGAGUGGCUAAUACCGCAUGAGAUCUACGGAUGAAAGCAGGGGAUCGCAAGACCUUGUGCUACUAGAGCGGCCGAUGGCAGAUUAGGUAGUUGGUGGGAUAAAAGCUUACCAAGCCGACGAUCUGUAGCUGGUCUGAGAGGACGAUCAGCCACACUGGGACUGAGACACGGCCCAGACUCCUACGGGAGGCAGCAGUGGGGAAUUUUGGACAAUGGGCGCAAGCCUGAUCCAGCAAUGCCGCGUGCAGGAUGAAGGCCUUCGGGUUGUAAACUGCUUUUGUACGGAACGGAAAGCCCUGGGUUAAUACCCUGGGGUCAUGACGGUACUGUAAGAAUAAGCACCGGCUAACUACGUGCCAGCAGCCGCGGUAACAC
rnacentral:rRNA from 1 species